GGUAAUCAACCCGCAGUCCACGAUUAAGUGAAUAACGUUUCGCUCAGCACGUUUUACAUAAAAACACCUCAUAUUUUACAUAAUCAGCCCGCAGUCCAUCACCAUCUCUUUCCUCCUGAGUCUGGGUGCUCCAAGCCGGUUCCAAGCGAGACGGGGCCGCUAUGCAGACGACGCUGGGCGAGGCGGCGGCGAUCUCCGGCCAGAUCCGGUCGGGGAGGCGAGGCAGGGGCCGGAUCCUGUUCCGGGGACGGCGUGGAGUCGAUCUACGAGGCACGGGAGGAGGUCAGGCGGUGGGGCUUGAACUCCAGCGGGCCCCCUUUUGAUGGACGGGGCCGCCCACAUCGCCAGCGACUCCCCGGAGGCCGACAGGGCCUCCUCCUCCGCAUCCUCUACCGGCUCGGCCUCCUGGCGCUCCCGGCCGCACAAGUUGAUUCACCUGCGGCGGCGCCGGCGACCGUUGUCCGCUCGGAGAGGAGAGGGCGGCGAAGCCGACGGCAAGGGCGACGGUGACGACGUGCAGGACCUCGCUCUGCCGCUGGGGAGAUGUCCUUCGCGGCGGUUCUCGCCCAGUGCCUUGCUUCAUGGUCCCUCGAUUGCUAAUUGAACGACGGCCGGCAGCUAGCUGAUGUGGUGGCCGGUCUCUGGCUCGCGAGCGUCGUGGUGCUCGAAAACUCAAAUCCCUCGAGUGGUGAAAACUCCGCAUCAUGGACGACAGGUCGAGCGCCCGCGGCAGCCAGCCGUCAUACAACCCAUGCGGAAGAAGACGAUUGUGUUUCCGUGGUUGGUGAAGGGGCUGGUGUCAUCGUGCCUGUCAGCGUAGUUGUUGUUCUGAGAAUUUCCAUGAUAAGCAAGCAGUGAAUCUGUCUUGGCUGCAGAUAAAAACUGUUGCAGCGGUAUAUGGAUUCGAAGUGAUGAGUGCCCAUGAUUAUGUUGUAGUACAUGCCUUUGGAAAACCAUGGCCAGUGUUGUUUCCACCGAACCGGGUCCUCUCUCCGCUGUUCCGAUCUAAUGUCGACUGCGUGCCGUUGGCUUCCCGUGCACAAGGUCCUACCGGCGGCAUUGGGCACCACGUGGGAAGCGGAAGGAGGAGCCGCAACUCUCCAUGCAAGCUCGGGUCAAUGUCAUCGCAAGUUCCGUGCUCGACGUUGCUGUUCAAUCUCGCCUCAGCUGAUUUCGCCCGCCGUCCACCCAAUGCUCCACACUUCGCCGUAACUCAAUCUGCCGGUUCUCCGCUUGAGGUACGUACUGAAGCUAACCUUGCAAGAGGCAGGCAUGGGAGGCAUGAUUGUUGCUGAAGCGGAACUCAUAAAUGUCUCACGUCAUGUGGUUCUGUGCUAUUCUUAAUCUUCUUCUCUGAAGUGUGUAGUUUCAGUUUCACAUCAAAUGUGUUGCGCUUGCAGUGCGUACCAAUGUACAGUUUACCGAUGUGUAUAUAUGCGGAGGAGUCGAUGGAAAACAUUGAAGCCAGUAGUUGUAUACCUAUUUUAAAAAUCAGCAAGUGGUUAGUAACAUUCUAGAUCAAGGUAUUACAGAGAGAAAGGAGUAUCUCCUAUUUUAUUUUUGUGGGAUUGGGAGCAAUUUAGAAACUUAUGAAAAUAUAGGAAUCAUUCUCACUUUAAUCUCCAGUCCUCUUGUUUUGCUUCAUUUAUCAUGCAUUAUGCAUGUCAUAUGUUCCCACAAAUGCCUGGCAGAAGCACAACUUUCAUAGGGAACUUAGAAUGGUCACUUUGGUAGCAGGGCAGAUGCACGUUCCCAGUGUAUAUGUAAAAUUAUAUGCAUAUCUAGCCAUAGAAAUACAUGCAUCUGAACCGCAUCGGACAUAGUGUCGGACUGUCAGCCUAAAAUAUUCCUCUUUAUAUCAUUCUCCAUUUCUGUGAAUAUGCAAAUAUAAGUGCCAUGUAUGUGCUUGUGGAACUUUUGCUGUAAAAUUUCACGCUUCUUUACGAAAAGUAGGUUGAAGAAAGUUUUGAUUUUUCUUGGAUAGGUUAUCAUAUGACAGAACGUCUGGGGUGAAAGCUAAGCUACUUCCAAUGGUCCCAAAUGAGAAGGCAAGAAGGUAUCAGCUGUAUGAGAAGACCCCCGCCCAUUCCAUUCUCUAUGAAGUCAAAAGUUUCCCACUGAAUAUAUUUGGUACUAAAACGGUCGUUAUGUCAGCACCACGAUCGUGUGCCUAUUGUUGGCUCUUAAUUCUUUAGGAUUAUUUGAUUUGUUUGAUUCAUUCUGUUCAUAUUUAUGCAGCAACAAAAUACAUUCAAGAUCAGGGUGUGUGAGGGUUAAACAUGUUCAUUUAUGUGGCAUCAAGCUAUGUAUGUUGAUAGCAUGAUCUCCUUUUCUUUUGCUUUGCAGAAUUAUUCUCGACACUGGAGAUAUAUGCUAAUCCUCUAGCUUUGCUAAUUUUAUCUUUUGAUUUCA